AUUGAACGCUGGCGGCAGGCCUAACACAUGCAAGUCGAACGGUAACACGAUACGGCUUUCUGCUUUGCUGAGGCGUGUCGGGCGGGCGAGUGAUGUCUGGGGGACUCUCCUUUUUCGGGGGGGAUCUACUGGGAACGGUUACUAUUACCCCAUAUCCUCCCAAGGCCAAAGAGCGGGAGCUUAUCGCAUCUUGCCAUCUGGUAUGCCCAGAUGGGAUUAGCUAGUGGGGGGGGUAAAGGCGCACCCAGGCGACGAUCCCUAGCUGGUCUGAGAGGAUGAUCAGCCACACUGGAACUGAGACACGGUCCAGACUCCUACGGGAGGCAGCAGUGGGGAAUAUUGGACAAUGGGCGCAAGCCUGAUGCAGCCAUGCCGCGUGUAUGAAGAAGGCCUUCGGGUUGUAAAGUACUUUCAGCGGGGAGGAAGGGAGUAAAGUUAAUACCUCUCCUCAUUGACGGUACCCGAAGAAGAAGCACCGGCUAACUCCGUG
rnacentral:rRNA from 1 species